GACGAACGCUGGCGGCGUGCUUAACACAUGCAAGUCGAACGGAAAGGCCCUGCUUUUGUGGGGUGCCAGAGUGGCGAACGGGUGAGUAACACGUGAGUAUCCUGCCCUUGACUUUGGGAUAACUUCAAGAAACUGGGGCUACUACCGGAUAGGAGCUCCUGCUGCAUGGUGGGCGUUGGAAAGUUUCGGCGGAUGGGGAUGGACUCGCGGGUUAUCAGCUUGUUGGUGGAGUACUGGCUUAGCCAGGCAUUGACGGCUGGUCGGCCUGAGAGGGUGGCCGGCCACAUUGGGACUGCGGUACGGCCCAGUCUCCUAUGUGAGGCAGCAGUGGGGAAUAUUGCACAGUGGGGGGAAGCGUGAUGCAGCAACGCCGCGUGCGGGAUGACGGCCUUGGGGUUGUAAACCGCUUUCGCCUGUGACGAAGCGUGAGUGACGGUAAUGGGUAAAGAAGCACCGGCUAACUACGUG
rnacentral:rRNA from 1 species